AGGCUAUGUCUUGCCACCCCAGAUGAUUGAGUAAUAUAUAAGCAUGCAUAAUAUAUAUUAUGUGUUUAUAUAUUACUCAAUCAUCUGGGGUGGCAAGACAUAGCCU